UGGAUCCUGACAAGGUUAAGGCUGUGGUGGAUUGGCCAAUUCCAGAUUCCCGCAAGGCCCUGCAGAGGUUUCUGGGCUUUGCCAAUUUUUACCGGUGUUUUAUUCGCAAUUUCAGCCAACUAGCCGCUCCUCUGACUGCCUUAACCUCCCCCGCAAUAGCGUUCAGGUGGUCGGAUGCAGCUGAGGCUGCAUUCUCCAACCUCAAAAGCCGCUUCGUUUCGGCUCCCAUUCUUGUCGCCCCUGAUCCUUCACGUCAGUUUGUGGUGGAGGUUGAUGUGUCAGAGGUGGGGGGUAGGUGCAGUUCUAUCCCAGCGCUCCGCAGCGGACGAUAAGAUGCAUCCUUGCUCGUUUUUUUCACAUCGUUUAACUGCUGCCAAACGUAAUUACGACAUUGGUAACAGGGAGCUGCUGGCGGUCAAAUUAGCUUUGGAAGAGUGGCGUCACUGGUUGGAGGGUUCGGGGGUACCUUUCAUCGUCUGGACUGAUCAUAAGAACCUUGAGUAUAUUAGAUCCGCUAAACGACUUAACUCUAGGCAGGCUCGGAAGAAGCCUGAAGGGGUAACGCCUCCGCCCGGGUGCCCACCGAGUCGGUUAUUUGUGCCAGAGGGGUUGCGUUCAGACGUUAUCCGAUGGGGCCACGAUUCCAAUCUGGCUUGUCAUCCAGGGGUUAGUCGCACCAACUUUUUGGUCAUCAACGAUUUUGGUGGCCCUGCAUGGCUCGCGAUGUUCACAAUUUUGUUUUGGCUUGCUCUGUCUGCGCUCGUGGUAAGGCUUCUAAUCGUCCCCCUGAGGGACUCCUUCAGCCGCUGUCUGUCCCUUCGAGACCCUGGUCCCACAUAGCGCUAGAUUUCGUCACAGGCCUCCCUCCUUCACAGGGCAAUACGGUGAUUUUGACCGUAGUGGACCGAUUCUCGAAGGCGGCGCAUUUCAUCCCCUUGCCCAAAUUACCCACUGCCAAGGAGACAGCGGUUACUGUCAUUAAUCACGUCUUCCGUAUCCAUGGCCUCCCAACCAGGAUUUGGAGAGAAUGUUGCGAUGUCGGGUUGCUCAGAAUCCUUCCUCCUGGAGUCAGCAGCUUCCUUGGGUGGAGUACGCGCACAACUCGUUACCAGUGUGGGCUACGGGCCUGUCGGCUUUUCAGUGUAGUCUAGGUUACCAGCCAACUGCCUUUCCCAGUCUGGAAUCCGAAGUCGCGGUCCCCUCCGCUCACGCCUUCGUCCAGAGGUGUCGUCACACGUGGAGAAGAGCCCGAGAGACUCUCCUUCAGGUGGGGGCGCGCACCAAGGCCCAGGCCGAUCGCCACCGGCUGAAGCCUCCCGUAUACGUCGUUGGUCAAAAAGUGUGGCUUUCUUCCAAGAACAUUCCGCUCCGCUCCGUGAGUAACAAAUUAGCACCCAAAUUCUGCUUAUUCGGUCCGUCGUAUUUUGGAUGCUAGGCGAAGGGGACGCGGAUUCCAGUACUUGGUGGACUGGGAAGGUUACGGUCCAGAGGAGAGGAGUUGGGUUCCUGCCAGGGACAUCCUGGAUCACUCUCUUAUUGAUGAAUAUCGUCAACAGGUAGGCUCUCCUGGGAGCGCCAGGAGGCGCUCGUAGGAGAGGGGGUACUGUCACGGUUCAUGGGUUCACUUACUCGCCCUCGUGUGGUUGUGGUGUGUGUUGCACUGAGUGAGUGAUUGUGUGGGCGUCACCCACCUGUCAGAUUGUGAUGUGCUGCCAGCCGUGUCUUGUUCAGUGUUUGCUAUUUAAUGUGUGUGUCUACAUGGUGUCUUUGUCAGUUCGUUGCAGGCUGUCCCGCUGCCGUGUUUCUGUGUUUCACCUCCUGUUAUCCUGGGGUUCUGGAUCUCCGUCUUGUGCCCACGUCUGGGUUGGAUUAUCCCUUGGCUUCUGAUACCCAUUGCAGCCCUGCGCCAACCGAUUCCUCUGUUUCGGCGUCAGCUCGUCUUUGUGACUGCAACUACUGUCCUUUUUGGAGUGAAGUUAUUGUACAGCGUAUUCUGUCAAUAAAUCCGGUUUUACUUGCACUUGGAUCCUCUCUCUGUGUUCAUUCCCUGACAGUGUGCUUAUUUAUAUGAUUUAUAAGGACACAAAUUUGUAUAAUGACAUGGGUAUUAAACUGGUAUUACCUUAAAUAAUGACAGAAUGUUCAUUUUGUGGUGAACAAUUACUCUUUCAAAAACCUAUUGGUUGCGUGCCUUAAUGUAAAAAUAAAAACAAAUGUUUUAUGACACCGUCCCUGUGGAACCAUUCAUCACCCACAUAAAAUGCAGCUGACAAGAAUGCUUUCAUAACCGCUCUUGAUAAUGGCUGACCUUACAGCUAAAUCUGAUUUUGCUUUGAUUGUGUGGGUGGCAGAAAUGUUUUGUGUACAUUCUUCACAGACAGAGAGGUAUACUUUACAGUAUAAUCAAUCUAUACCUAUGAACAUAGAGUCAGAGUACACCGUCAUAUAUGGCUAUAACAUGUUAUAUAGCCAAUAACACACUCUCACACGUUUAUUUUUUAAUAUUUUGGGAGAAGUAAAAUUAUGUGGUUUCAACAACCAGAUGCAUUUACAUUUGUCCAGUUUCAUCAGGGACCAGGACCACCUCCUCAAGUGGUUUGAAUGAUCAUAUUUAAAUCCGUCUCGAAAGCAUUUCCGAGGACAUUUACACCUGGGGUCUCAUUUAUAAAACUGUGUGUAGAAGAGGAAAGUCAACUGCGCCAUCUCCUGGACACUUUUAGGCAUUCAGGUUAACAAGCAUCCAGGCCACCAUAGUUAUCAUGCACUGAUCACGCGAAGGGACAGCCAAUCAAACCACCGCAUUGUAGGGUGACUGUUCAAAUAGAACCAUUAGUUUCGUUUUUGCUCAGUCAGUAAGAGAUGGUUCGUGUGUUGUUUUUCUGCUGAUUCCUGUCGAAGUUGUGUGCGUUAAUGACUAAAAACCACACUUACAACUAUACACAACCAUGCUCAAGAUUGUAUACCAAUGUAAUCUGUGAACUUGAAGAACAUUAAAGUAACCUAACUGGA